UGUCCGGGGUUCGCCCCGGUACCGAAGCCACGCGUUAAGUAUGCCGCCUGGGGAGUACGUACGCAAGUAUGAACUCAAAGGAAUUGACGGGGGCCCGCACAAGCGGUGGAGCAUGUGGUUUAUUCGAAGCACGCGCAGAACCUUACCAGGGUUUGACAUGGGAUCGCCGCGGCGAGAGAUCGCCGUUUUGCAGCAAUGCAACGAUCCGCACAGGUGCUGCAUGGCUGUCGUCAGCUCGUGUCGUGAGAUGUUGGGUUAAGUCCCGCAACGAGCGCAACCCACGUUUCCAGUUGCCACCCGCAAGGGGGCCCUCUGGAGAGACUGCCGGGGACAACCCGGAGGAAGGUGUGGAUGACGUCAAGUCCUCAUGGCCCUUACAUCCUGGGCUACACACGUGCUACAAUGGGAUAUACAGAGGGAAGCGAGCAGGUGACUGUAAGCGAAUCUCAGAAAGUAUUUCGUAGUCCGGAUUGAAGUCUGCAACUCGACUUCAUGAAGUUGGAAUCGCUAGUAAUCGCAAAUCAGAAUGUUGCGGUGAAUACGUUCCCGGGCCUUGUACACACCGCCCGUCACACCAUGGGAGUGGAUUGCACCAGAAGUAGCCAGCUUAACGAAAGGGGGCGGUUACCACGGUGUGGUUUAUGACUGGGGUG
rnacentral:rRNA from 1 species